GCCUGGGUGGCUCAGUUGGUUGAGCGUCUGACUGUAUCUCAGGUCGAGUCUCACACUCUGUGAGUUCGAGCCCCACGUCAGGCU
rfam:Felis catus isolate Cinnamon breed Abyssinian chromosome X, whole genome shotgun sequence.